rnacentral:piRNA from 2 species
GAAGGAGGCAGAGGCAGGAGGAUCA